GAUGAACGCUGGCGGCGUGCUUAACACAUGCAAGUCGAGCGAGAAGCCCAUGAUCGAUACUUCGGUUGAUUGAUUGGGUGGAAAGCGGCGGACGGGUGAGUAACGCGUAGGCAACCUGCCCCUUGCAGAGGGAUAGCCAUUGGAAACGAUGAUUAAUACCUCAUAAUGCGGGACCAAGACAUCUUGGACCUGCCAAAGAUUUAUCGGCAGGGGAUGGGCCUGCGUCUGAUUAGCUGGUUGGUGGGGUAACGGCUCACCAAGGCGACGAUCAGUAGCCGACCUGAGAGGGUGAUCGGCCACAUUGGAACUGAGACACGGUCCAGACUCCUACGGGAGGCAGCAGUGGGGAAUAUUGCACAAUGGGCGCAAGCCUGAUGCAGCAACGCCGCGUGAAGGAAGAAGGCCUUUGGGUCGUAAACUUCUGUCCUUAGGGAAGAUAAUGACGGUACCUUUGGAGGAAGCCCCGGCUAACUCCGUGCCAGCCGCCGCGGUAAAAC
rnacentral:rRNA from 1 species